UUAAGCGACUAAGCGUACACGGUGGAUGCCCUGGCAGUCAGAGGCGAUGAAGGACGUGCUAAUCUGCGAUAAGCGUCGGUAAGGUGAUAUGAACCGUUAUAACCGGCGAUUUCCGAAUGGGGAAACCCAGUGUGAUUCGUCACACUAUCAUUAACUGAAUCCAUAGGUUAAUGAGGCGAACCGGGGGAACUGAAACAUCUAAGUACCCCGAGGAAAAGAAAUCAACCGAGAUUCCCCCAGUAGCGGCGAGCGAACGGGGAGCAGCCCAGAGCCUGAAUCAGUGUGUGUGUUAGUGGAAGCGUCUGGAAAGGCGUGCGAUACAGGGUGACAGCCCCGUACACAAAAAUGCACAUGCUGUGAGCUCGAUGAGUAGGGCGGGACACGUGGUAUCCUGUCUGAAUAUGGGGGGACCAUCCUCCAAGGCUAAAUACUCCUGACUGACCGAUAGUGAACCAGUACCGUGAGGGAAAGGCGAAAAGAACCCCGGCGAGGGGAGUGAAAAAGAACCUGAAACCGUGUACGUACAAGCAGUGGGAGCACAGAGCAAUCUGUGUGACUGCGUACCUUUUGUAUAAUGGGUCAGCGACUUAUAUUCUGUAGCAAGGUUAACCGAAUAGGGGAGCCGAAGGGAAACCGAGUCUUAACUGGGCGUUAAGUUGCAGGGUAUAGACCCGAAACCCGGUGAUCUAGCCAUGGGCAGGUUGAAGGUUGGGUAACACUAACUGGAGGACCGAACCGACUAAUGUUGAAAAAUUAGCGGAUGACUUGUGGCUGGGGGUGAAAGGCCAAUCAAACCGGGAGAUAGCUGGUUCUCCCCGAAAGCUAUUUAGGUAGCGCCUCGUGAAUUCAUCUCCGGGGGUAGAGCACUGUUUCGGCAAGGGGGUCAUCCCGACUUACCAACCCGAUGCAAACUGCGAAUACCGGAGAAUGUUAUCACGGGAGACACACGGCGGGUGCUAACGUCCGUCGUGAAGAGGAAACAACCCAGACCGCCAGCUAAGGUCCCAAAGUCAUGGUUAAGUGGGAAACGAUGUGGGAAGGCCCAGACAGCCAGGAUGUUGGCUUAGAAGCAGCCAUCAUUUAAAGAAAGCGUAAUAGCUCACUGGUCGAGUCGGCCUGCGCGGAAGAUGUAACGGGGCUAAACCAUGCACCGAAGCUGCGGCAGCGACGCUUAUGCGUUGUUGGGUAGGGGAGCGUUCUGUAAGCCUGCGAAGGUGUGCUGUGAGGCAUGCUGGAGGUAUCAGAAGUGCGAAUGCUGACAUAAGUAACGAUAAAGCGGGUGAAAAGCCCGCUCGCCGGAAGACCAAGGGUUCCUGUCCAACGUUAAUCGGGGCAGGGUGAGUCGACCCCUAAGGCGAGGCCGAAAGGCGUAGUCGAUGGGAAACAGGUUAAUAUUCCUGUACUUGGUGUUACUGCGAAGGGGGGACGGAGAAGGCUAUGUUGGCCGGGCGACGGUUGUCCCGGUUUAAGCGUGUAGGCUGGUUUUCCAGGCAAAUCCGGAAAAUCAAGGCUGAGGCGUGAUGACGAGGCACUACGGUGCUGAAGCAACAAAUGCCCUGCUUCCAGGAAAAGCCUCUAAGCAUCAGGUAACAUCAAAUCGUACCCCAAACCGACACAGGUGGUCAGGUAGAGAAUACCAAGGCGCUUGAGAGAACUCGGGUGAAGGAACUAGGCAAAAUGGUGCCGUAACUUCGGGAGAAGGCACGCUGAUAUGUAGGUGAAGUCCCUCGCGGAUGGAGCUGAAAUCAGUCGAAGAUACCAGCUGGCUGCAACUGUUUAUUAAAAACACAGCACUGUGCAAACACGAAAGUGGACGUAUACGGUGUGACGCCUGCCCGGUGCCGGAAGGUUAAUUGAUGGGGUUAGCGCAAGCGAAGCUCUUGAUCGAAGCCCCGGUAAACGGCGGCCGUAACUAUAACGGUCCUAAGGUAGCGAAAUUCCUUGUCGGGUAAGUUCCGACCUGCACGAAUGGCGUAAUGAUGGCCAGGCUGUCUCCACCCGAGACUCAGUGAAAUUGAACUCGCUGUGAAGAUGCAGUGUACCCGCGGCAAGACGGAAAGACCCCGUGAACCUUUACUAUAGCUUGACACUGAACAUUGAGCCUUGAUGUGUAGGAUAGGUGGGAGGCUUUGAAGUGUGGACGCCAGUCUGCAUGGAGCCGACCUUGAAAUACCACCCUUUAAUGUUUGAUGUUCUAACGUUGACCCGUAAUCCGGGUUGCGGACAGUGUCUGGUGGGUAGUUUGACUGGGGCGGUCUCCUCCUAAAGAGUAACGGAGGAGCACGAAGGUUGGCUAAUCCUGGUCGGACAUCAGGAGGUUAGUGCAAUGGCAUAAGCCAGCUUGACUGCGAGCGUGACGGCGCGAGCAGGUGCGAAAGCAGGUCAUAGUGAUCCGGUGGUUCUGAAUGGAAGGGCCAUCGCUCAACGGAUAAAAGGUACUCCGGGGAUAACAGGCUGAUACCGCCCAAGAGUUCAUAUCGACGGCGGUGUUUGGCACCUCGAUGUCGGCUCAUCACAUCCUGGGGCUGAAGUAGGUCCCAAGGGUAUGGCUGUUCGCCAUUUAAAGUGGUACGCGAGCUGGGUUUAGAACGUCGUGAGACAGUUCGGUCCCUAUCUGCCGUGGGCGCUGGAGAACUGAGGGGGGCUGCUCCUAGUACGAGAGGACCGGAGUGGACGCAUCACUGGUGUUCGGGUUGUCAUGCCAAUGGCACUGCCCGGUAGCUAAAUGCGGAAGAGAUAAGUGCUGAAAGCAUCUAAGCACGAAACUUGCCCCGAGAUGAGUUCUCCCUGACUCCUUGAGAGUCCUGAAGGAACGUUGAAGACGACGACGUUGAUAGGCCGGGUGUGUAAGCGCAGCGAUGCGUUGAGCUAACCGGUACUAAUGAACCGUGAGGCUUAACCU
rnacentral:rRNA from 1 species